rnacentral:rRNA from 1 species
CGUACACUCCUGCGGGAGGCAGCAGUGGGGAAUAUUGCACAAUGGGCGCAAGCCUGAUGCAGCCAUGCCGCGUGUAUGAAGAAGGCCUUCGGGUUGUAAAGUACUUUCAGCGGGGAGGAAGGCAAUACGGUUAAUAACCGUGUUGAUUGACGUUACCCGCAGAAGAAGCACCGGCUAACUCCGUGCCAGCAGCCGCGGUAAUACGGAGGGUGCAAGCGUUAAUCGGAAUUACUGGGCGUAAAGCGCACGCAGGCGGUCUGUCAAGUCGGAUGUGAAAUCCCCGGGCUCAACCUGGGAACUGCAUUCGAAACUGGCAGGCUUGAGUCUUGUAGAGGGGGGUAGAAUUCCAGGUGUAGCGGUGAAAUGCGUAGAGAUCUGGAGGAAUACCGGUGGCGAAGGCGGCCCCCUGGACAAAGACUGACGCUCAGGUGCGAAAGCGUGGGGAGCAAACAGGAUUAGAAACCCGAGUAGUCCCA